AUUGAACGCUGGCGGCAUGCUUUACACAUGCAAGUCGGACGAGUGGAGAACGGGUGAGUAACGCAUCGGAACGUACCGAGUAAUGGGGGAUAACUGUCCGAAAGGACAGCUAAUACCGCAUAUUAUCCGAACGGCCGAUGCCUGAUUAGCUGGUUGGCGGGGUAAAGGCCCACCAGGGCGACGAUCAGUAGCGGGUCUGAGAGGAUGAUCCGCCACACUGGGACUCAAAAACGGCCCAAACUCCUCCGGGAGGCAGCAGUGGGGAAUUUUGGACAGUGGCAGCAGGCCUGAUCCAGCCAUGCGGCGUUUCUGAAGAGGGCCUUCGGGUUGUAAAUGACUUUUGUAAGGGAAGCGGUACCUGAAGAAUAAGCACCGGCUAACUACGUGCCAGCAGCCGCGGUAAUAC
rnacentral:rRNA from 1 species